rnacentral:rRNA from 1 species
UUGAUGCGGCAGCUACCAUGCAAGUCGUACGAGAAGGUUCCUUCGGGAACUGGAGAGUGGCGCACGGGUGAGUAACGCGUGGGGACCUACCUCUUAGUGGGGGAUAACGGUUGGAAACGACCGCUAAUACCGCAUACGCCCUUCGGGGGAAAGAUUUAUCGCUAAGAGAUGGACCCGCGUUGGAUUAGAUAGUUGGUGAGGUAACGGCUCACCAAGUCAGCGAUCCAUAGCUGGUUUGAGAGGAUGAUCAGCCACACUGGGACUGAGACACGGCCCAGACUCCUACGGGAGGCAGCAGUGGGGAAUAUUGGACAAUGGGCGCAAGCCUGAUCCAGCCAUGCCGCGUGAGUGAAGAAGGCCUUCGGGUUGUAAAGCUCUUUCAGAUGCGAAGAUGAUGACGGUAACAUCAGAAGAAGCCCCGGCUAAUUUCGUGCCAGCAGCCGCGGUAAUACGAAAGGGGCAAGCGUUGUUCGGAUUUACUGGGCGUAAAGGGCACGCAGGCGGUCCUGCCAGUCAGGGGGU